CCGUGCCCGUGAUUGAUGAAGGCCCUAGGGUUGUAAAGAUCUUUCAACAGUGAAGAUAAUGACGGUAACUGUAGAAGAAGCUCCGGCUAACUCCGUGCCAGCACCCGCGGUAAUACGGAGGGAGCUAGCGUUGUUCAGAAUUACUGGGCGUAAAGCGCGCGUAGGCGGAUUAUUAAGUCAGAGGUGAAAUCCCGGGGCUCAACCCCGGAACUGCCUUUGAUACUGGUAGUCUAGAGGUCGAGAGAGGUGAGUGGAAUUCCGAGUGUAAAGGUGAAAUUCGUAAAUAUUCGGAGGAACACCAGUGGCGAAGGCGGCUCACUGGCUCUAUACCGCCGCUGAGGUGCGAAAGUGUGGGUAGCAAACAGGAUAUAAUACCCUGGUCCUCCCCACCGAAAACGAUGAAUGCUAGUCGUUUUGGGACUUCUCCUUUGGUGACCCAACUCACACAUUAUGCUUUCCGCCGGGGGAGGACGGUGGAAAAAAAAUCAAAGAAAAUGGAAGGGGGGGGCGUU
rnacentral:rRNA from 1 species